ACAAAGGAAAAAGUGAAGCUGCCAGCAUGAUCUAGAUUUGGUUAGUGUGUGCUAGAGAAGAAGAGUGUUAAUUAACCUUGACUAGGUCAUGCUGUGCCAGCCUCACUCCUUCCUAUU